rnacentral:rRNA from 1 species
CUACGGGGUGCACCAGUGGGGAAUAUUGCACAAUGGGCGCAAGCCUGAUGCAGCCAUGCCGCGUGUAUGAAGAAGGCCUUCGGGUUGUAAAGUACUUUCAGCGGGGAGGAAGGGAGUAAAGUUAAUACCUUUGCUCAUUGACGUUACCCGCAGAAGAAGCACCGGCUAACUCCGUGCCAGCAGCCGCGGAAUACGGAGGGUGCAAGCGUUAAUCGGAAUUACUGGGCGUAAAGCGCACGCAGGCGGUUUGUUAAGUCAGAUGUGAAAUCCCCGGGCUCAACCUGGGAACUGCAUCUGAGACUGGCAAGCUUGAGUCUCGUAGAGGGGGGUAGAAUUCCAGGUGUAGCGGUGAAAUGCGUAGAGAUCUGGAGGAAUACCGGUGGCGAAGGCGGCCCCCUGGACGAAGACUGACGCUCAGGUGCGAAAGCGUGGGGAGCAAACAGGAUUAGAUACCCCUGUAGUC